UACGUAGGUGACCAGCGUUGUCCGGAUUUACUGGGCGUAAAGAGCGCGCAGGCGGUCGUUCAAGUCGAGUGUGAAAGCCCCCGGCUCAACUGGGGAGGGUCACUCGAUACUGAUCGACUUGAAGGCAGGAGAGGGAAGCGGAAUUCCCGGUGUAGUGGUGAAAUGCGUAGAUAUCGGGAGGAACACCAGUGGCGAAGGCGGCUCGCUGGGCCGGCCCUGACGCUGAGACGCGAAGGCGUGGGGAGCGAACGGG
rnacentral:rRNA from 1 species